GACAGAGGUGGCGACCGUUGUUCGGAAUCACUGGGCAUAAAGCGCGUGUAGGCGGCAUCGUAAGUCGGGUGUGAAAUCCCUCGGCCUAACCGAGGAAUUGCGCCCGAAACUACCUUGCUUGAGGACCAGAGGGGAGCCUGGAAUUCCUGGUGGAGCGGUGAAAUGCGUUGAUAUCAGGAGGAACACCGGCGGCGAAGGCGAGGCUCUGGCUGGUUACUGACGCUGAGACGCGAAAGCUAGGGGAGCAAACGGG
rnacentral:rRNA from 1 species